rnacentral:rRNA from 1 species
GACGAACGCUGGCGGCGUGCUUAACACAUGCAAGUCGAACGAAGAGCGAUGGAAGCUUGCUUCUAUCAAUCUUAGUGGCGAACGGGUGAGUAACGCGUAAUCAACCUGCCCUUCAGAGGGGGACAACAGUUGGAAACGACUGCUAAUACCGCAUACGAUCUAAUCUCGGCAUCGAGGAUAGAUGAAAGGUGGCCUCUACAUGUAAGCUAUCACUGAAGGAGGGGAUUGCGUCUGAUUAGCUAGUUGGAGGGGUAACGGCCCACCAAGGCGAUGAUCAGUAGCCGGUCUGAGAGGAUGAACGGCCACAUUGGGACUGAGACACGGCCCAGACGCCUACGGGAGGCAGCAGUGGGGAAUCUUCCGCAAUGGACGAAAGUCUGACGGAGCAACGCCGCGUGAGUGAUGACGGCCUUCGGGUUGUAAAGCUCUGUUAAUCGGGACGAAAGGCCUUCUUGCGAAUAGUGAGAAGGAUUGACGGUACCGGAAGAGAAAGCCACGGCUAACUACGUG